rnacentral:rRNA from 1 species
AGCGAACGCUGGCGGUAGGCCUAACACAUGCAAGUCGAACGGCAACACAGUAAGAGCUUGCUCUUCCGGGGUGCGAGUGGCGGACGGGUCAGGAAUACAUCGGAAUCUACUUUUUCGUGUGGCAUAACGUAGGUAAACUUACGCUAAUACCGCAUACGACCUUCGGUUGAAAGCAGUGGAUCUUCGGGCCUUGCGGGAUUGAAUGAGCCGCUGUCGGAUUAGCUAGUUGGCGGGGUAAUGGCCCACCAAGGCGACGAUCCGUAGCUGGUCUGAGAGGAUGAUCGGCGACACUAGAGCUGGAACAGGGUCAUGGGUACUGCGGGAGGCAGCAGUGGGGAACAUUGGGCAAUGGGCGCAAAUCUGGUCCAGCCAUACCGCGUGGGUGAAAAAGACCUUCGGGUUGUAAAGCCCUUUUGUGGGUAAAGAAAAGCAGCAGGUUAAUACCACGCUGUUCUGACGGUACCCAGAGAAUAAGCACCGGCUAACUUCGUG